rnacentral:rRNA from 1 species
AGAGUUUGAUCCUGGCUCAGAACGAACGCUGGCGGCAGGCUUAACACAUGCAAGUCGAGCGCGUGUAGCAAUACACGAGCGGCGCACGGGUGAGUAACGCGUGGAUAUCUGCCUUUUGGUUCGGAAUAACCCCGGGAAACUGGGGCUAAUACCGGAUGGUUCCUACGGGAUAAAGAUUUAUCGCCAAAAGAUGAGUCCGCGUCCGAUUAGCUAGUUGGUGAGGUAACGGCUCACCAAGGCGACGAUCGGUAGCUGGUCUGAGAGGACGAUCAGCCACACUGGGACUGAGACACGGCCCAGACUCCUACGGGAGGCAGCAGUGGGGAAUAUUGGACAAUGGGGGCAACCCUGAUCCAGCCAUGCCGCGUGAGUGAUGAAGGCCUUCGGGUUGUAAAGCUCUUUUGGCGGGGACGAUGAUGACGGUACCCGCAGAAUAAGCCCCGGCUAACUUCGUGCCAGCAGCCGCGGUAGGACGAAGGGGGCUAGCGUUGUUCGGAAUUACUGGGCGUAAAGCGCGUGUAGGCGGUUGUCCAAGUUGGAUGUGAAAGCCUUGAGCUCAACUCAAGAAAUGCAUUCAGGACUGGAUGACUAGAGGACCGGAGAGGAUAGUGGAAUUCCCAGUGUAGUGGUGAAAUACGUAGAGAUUGGGAAGAACACCAGUGGCGAAGGCGGCUAUCUGGACGGUUUCUGACGCUAAGACGCGAAAGCGUGGGGAGCAAACAGGAUUAGAUACCCCCGUAGUCC